ensembl:lncRNA
AGAGCCUUCUGAAAAGAACCCAAUUCAUUCAAUACCUGGAUUCUGACCUUGUGAGACCCUGAACAGACGACCCAAACAAGUUUACCCAGACUGUGAUCUACAGAACUUCAUAGAAAAAAAGGACACCUCAUUGAGCUUCAUCAACAUGAAUACUUGAAAAUGCUCAUUGAUUGUAAAUGAGAAUCUGACUAACCUAUAAAGAGAAAUGGGGAUGCAGACAUUUUAAAAAUGAAGAGAAUUUUACAGCUGGAACAAGAACAUGGAUAAGGAGAUGCCAUCUGGAAGACACCUUUAAGGAAAUCAUCAGGUAGCCCAAAUAUCGCAAGUGGUCCAGAAAAGAAAGAACACCCCUGGGUAAAGGGAAAAAAAUGUGCCAAAGAACGGAAGCAUAAAAGAACAGGUCAUUUUGUGCGACUGUAACAUACACAACUGAAGCCUUGCCUGAAACCUAACAUCACUAGAAGUACUUGCUGGUAGUGAGGGAAUUCUGUGCGGAGGCUAUACUACUGGACUGCUACCAUCGUGAAUUAAUUGUUGCUCUUUGUUUAUGUCCAUUAACCUUCUGAAGUCCUAUUAAUUCUGAAUAAACUCAGUCAGCUCAGUUUUUCUGUUUGAGCCCAGGAGCUAAUGUUUGAAAGAAAGUUCCUCUGCACUAAUUCCAUGUUUUGGAUAAACUCUGUACAACGGAGCAAAUGGCUGAAGUCCAGAGCCCACAGCCCCAGUGGAAUAUACUUUUCAACCCCAAGAGACACCCUAUUUGACCAACAUACUAGACCUAUUUUUCAGAUUUUAAAGUCUUCUUCAAUAAGUAGGAGGAAAAAAAUUAUGUUUCAGUUCUGCAUAUAAUCAAAACAAUAAAUCCACAUGGGGUAAUUUUUUUUCUCACUAAACAUUGUUUAAAAUGUAUUAUUAUACCAAAGAACACAAUUUUUUCCAUUACUCCAACUACAGCUGAAAAAAUAAAAAUUUUCCAUUUAUAUACAGCUUUAGAGUAUUCAAAGCACUUUUACAUAUUACUUAUUUGAACCUCAAAACAACCUUGAAGUCUUGAGACUCAAAACAACCUUGAAAUAUUACCCAUAUUGUAGCACAUAUUUUUGCAGAGAAGGAAACCAAAGUCGAAAAUAAGUAGUUUACCCAAAGUGACACAAUUAUUAUGACUAAACCACACUGCUCAAAAGUCUGAAAAGUCUCAAUCAAGACUGGACUAAUAGUCCUUCUCUGGGGCUCCCAUUGUCCCAUUGCCUAUCCCUUCCAAAGCACUCAUUUUACCAGUGUUUCUCAUGCUUUAAUGUACAUGCAGAUUAUGACUCCAUUGACUUAGGGGUGGGGCCUGAAAUUCUGCAUUUCUAAUAAGCUCCAGAGCAAUGCUGGUGCUGCUGGUCUAAGGCAUGCCAAUGGAUCAGGACAGCCUGGUUUUGGUGUGUUUUUUUUUAAUUCUCCUGCACCCCACUGGAAGCUCUAUAAGGCCACGAAUUAUGCAUUAUUAAUCAAAAGCAUUCCUAGCAUUUAACUCAAGAUAUGACAGGCUAUGAAAGUCUCUAUAAAUAUGAAAUGAAUGAAAAAUUAAGUGAAUAAUGAAAUCCAUGUUUCUAACCUAGAGCUGCCUCCAGUAUAUUAUGCUGUCUCUCACAAACAGUGGCCAGGACUGCCUUUCCCUUUUAACUACCACAUUAGUUAAGGAAAACUCCAGCUUCCUUAAGAAAACCUAUUAUCUCAGUGGCUAAACACAUUGAAGAGGGUUUUUUCUUGCUCAUGUAAGUAUAUAUGAGUCUUCCCUCUUGGAGUAGGUGAGGAAAGGUCUGCUCCACUCAGUCAUUCAGAAUCCAAGCUGACAGAGGCUAUACCAACUGCAGUACAAGGCUGUCAAGGUCACCUCAAGAAUCGACUUCUACCUAGCAUGUGAAGCCUGAAAAUAACUCAUCCAUUCCACCUCUAUUCCAAGAGAACCUGGGAAAUGCAGCCUUCAGUCGGGUAGUCACACUCUAGCAACGAUACACCAGAGAAGAGGGCAGAAGCCACAGGUGGACACAGUGCCCUUUACUGCUGUACAGCCCCCAUGACAACCCACUGUGUGUUAAUGGUGCUCCCUAUUUUCCCAGGAUUGUAUGGGCAAAUUCGUGAUUUUCCCUUUUCCCGGAUUUCCUUUACCCAAACAAGCUCCAUCUGUUCAAUUCCUCCCCACCCUUCAGUGCACAUCUCAGAAGAUAUUUUUAUGCAGCUUUUCCAGAUCUCACAAACAAUAUGUCAUCUCCCUUUCUUGAAUCUCUAAUGCUUUGUACUUUUCUAAUACUCUCCAACACAUUCUACUGUGCAGUUCAAUUAUGGUGUACUUAUAAAUUCCGCAGCUCUAUAUCUGAAUCAUCUUGGUAGUCCUCUCAAGCAUCUAGUACAAAACUUUACAUAUAGCAGCAAUUCAGUAAAUAGGGGCAUUUGUAAGUUGAGCUGAAAACACAUAUAAUAAAUAUAAAGAACUCAUCUGGUAAUAACCUUGCUCUCUGUUUUUCAACAGAGGAGACAGCUAUAACUCCAAAAGUGAAAGUAGAAGAACUGCCAGUGCUCAAAAGCUACAAAUAUAGCUAGAGCCAGGGCAUAAAAUGAAAUACUUCUGGCUCAUAUAGUUCCACUGAGCCACACUGCAUUUUAUACACUUCUUCUUUAAUGGUUCAGACGUACAGUUCUUAAUAUCACAUGGAGACUCAUAACCUUCAGAAUACAGCAUGAAUCAGCUGGCUGCACU